GCCUAGCCCAGAUAGAAGUGGAAAUCCUUUUGUUCGCCGCGGCGGACCAAAAGAUUGGAACGGAUAGCUGGAAAUUGC
rnacentral:sRNA from 1 species